UCAAUGUGGGGCAUUUCUGGGACAAGCUGGAGAGGCGCUAUGAGGUAAAUGCCUGGGAGGAUAUGGGGGUGACCCUAGCUACGACUUGUAUCAGCAGAGGAGAUGGAGACUGAAGUGGACACCUCCUAUACCCAGACAGGAGCCUAGCAUAACUGUCCUCUGAGAGGCUCCACUCAGCAGUGAUCAAAACAGAUGCAGAGACCCACAGCCAAACAUUAAGCGGAGCUCGGGGAGUCUAGUGGAAGACUUGGGGAAGGAUAGAGGGACCUGGAGGGGGCAAGAGCGCCACAAGAAGACCAACAGAGUCAACUAACAGAGGACCAUGGGGACUCACAGAGACUCACCAAAGAACAGGCACCAAGCUUAACUGUCAUCUGCGAGGCUUCACCCAGCAACUGAUGAAAACAGAUGCAGAGACCCACAGCCAAACAUUAGGCAAAGCUCGGAAAAUUCCAUGGAAGAGGGGGACAAAGGAUUGAAGGAGCCAGAAAGGUCAAAGACACCACAAAAAAGCAAACAGAACCAACUAACCCAGCCCACAGGGGCCCACAAAGACUUAACCACCAAAUAGAGAACAUACUUGAGAUGGACCUAGGCCCUCUGCACAUAUGUAACACAUAUGUGGUGUAGCACGUAUGUGGUUCAGCUCAGUCCUCGUGCUUCUAACAGUGGGAGCUGGAGCUGCAUCUUACUCUGUUGCCUGCCUUUGGAUCCCUUUCCCUUAACUGGUCUGCCUCUUCUAGCCACAAUAAAAGAUGUGCUUUUUCCUACUUGAUAUGCCAAGAUAAGUUGAUAUUCAUGGGAGGCCUCCCUUUUUCUGAGCCUCUUCUGAAGAGAAAGGGAGGAUGGGAGGAUGGCAGGGAGGUGAGUUGAGAGGGAGGAACGGAAAGGAGAAGAGGAAGGUAAAGUCUAGAUGUAAAAUUAAUUAAUUAAUUAAAAGUUUAGGAUUGGAAGGAAGGAAGGAAGGAAGGAAGGAAGGAAGGAAGGAGGAAAGGAAGGAAACAGGCUGAGCAAGUCAUAGUGAGCAAGCCAGUAAGCAGCACCCCUCCAUGGCCUCUGUUAUCAGCUCCUGUCCUGUUUGAGUUCCUAUUCUGACAUUUUUCAAU